rnacentral:lncRNA from 1 species
UUUAUUUUGCUUAAGUGUUUAUGUGUCUUUAUAACAUGAUUGUACUCUUUUCUUCCUUCUGGCACUUUUUAAUGAAAAUUAUGUUUGUUUCUUUCCAUAAGUUUUUGUCUAUGUAUUUUUUAUUUAUGACAAAGGGGGAGAAUUAUUUAAGGGGAGAAUUGUAAUUGGUUUUGAUAUACCUAUAUUAUUGAAUCAGAACCCAAACAUUUUGUAAUGUUUCUG